rnacentral:rRNA from 1 species
CCAAUAGCGUAUAUUAAAGUUGUUGCAGUUAAAAAGCUCGUAGUUGAAGUUCGGGAUUAGUACGCUGGUCGUGCCUUCGGUAUGUACUGGUGUUACUGGUUCCUACCUUCUGACGAACCGUCAUGUCAUUAAUUUGGUGUGGCGGGGAAUCAGGACUGUUACUUUGAAAAAAUUAGAGUGUUUAAAGCAGGCUCGCGCUUGAAUACAUUAGCAUGGAAUAAUGAAAUAGGACGUUCGAUCCUAUUUUGUUGGUUUCUAGGAUUGACGUAAUGAUUAAUAGGGAUAGUUGGGGGCAUUAGUAUUCAAUUGUAAGAGGUGAAAUUCUUGGAUUUAUUGAAGACUAACUACUGCGAAAGCAUUUGCCAAGGAUGUUUUCAUUAAUCAAGAACGAAAGUUAGGGGAUCGAAGACGAUCAGAUACCGUCGUAGUCUUAACCAUAAACUAUGCCGACUAGGGAUCGGAUGAUGUUAUUUUUAAUGACUCAUUCGGCGCCUUACG